rnacentral:lncRNA from 1 species
UCUCCCGCGCGCCUUCUCCCGCUGGAAGCGAAGGAGGAUGGAGCGCGCGAGGAGCGCGGGCUGUGGCAAGCUGCUCGGCGCGUCGCGCUCGCCCGGCGAUGGCGGCUAGGCUCUUUUCACAAUGCCAGGUAGAGCCGGACGGCCACCCCGGGCUGCGGCGAGGCGAGCGCGCGCCUGUUGCUUGUUGAACACACAUUGGGAAACUGAGGCCCGAGCCGCCUAGGGUUCCCGGUCCCCGCUCUGCGCGCCCAGCCGCCGUUCCUCACCAGGCCCCGCAGUGAGCAAUGAGCGGCCACCUGAGGACUGCACCGGGCAGCGAGCGCGAACUCAGGUCGGUGCUGCGGGACAGGUGAGGCUACACAGGAUGCUGGCGGCUGGCUGCUGAGGAGGCAGCUUCCGGGUGACAGCCACUUGUCAGCUUGCCUCCUCACCCACUCAGCUAACAAACAAGUCUUCAGUGCUCUCCCUGGGCCCGGCAUUGUUCUGACUGAAAAAUACAGGCUGAAACACAUCACCUGUUCUUUGUUACCCUAGAAAAUGAAAGGGGGACCUGUGGUCUUCCAGUGAUGGCCAUAUUUGCACGCCCCAUUGCUUUCAGGAGCACCUAAGAUAUUUCAGUGCACUCUGAUGGUGCAAAGGUUUUAAAAAUAAAGCCUAUAUAGAUGACAGCCU